rnacentral:rRNA from 1 species
CUCGAAGAGACACUGAGGAAUUUUCUGGAACAAAAGAAGUAUUUUAUCAUAUUGGAUGAUAUCUGGACUCUCGAAUCAUUCAAUGAUUUUUCUGGGGCACUUAUCUGUAAUGACAAGGGCAGUAGACUCGUAAUCACAACACGGGAAGGCCACGUUGCUGCACUUGCCUCAGCAGGACAUGUCCUACUGGAAGCUUUCCCAAAAGAUAAAGCAUGGGAGCUCUUUUGUAAUACAGCAUUCCCAGGAGAUACAAAUCAUAAAUGCCCGAAAGAAAUGACAAAAUUAGCACAUCAAGUAGCAAGCAAGUGUAAAGGCAUACCUCUUGCCAUUGUCUCUAUUGGUAGGCUCCUCUUCAGGCGUGACAAGACCAAAGAGGAAUUGAAGCGAAUACACGACCAGCUCAACUGGGAGCUAUUUAAUAAUCCAAGCUUGGAACAUGUCAGGAAUAUCCUUUAUUUGAGCUACAUUUACCUUCCGACACACUUGAAAAGUUGUUUCCUAUACUGCAGCUUGUUUCCAGAGGACUAUCUCAUGAGAAGAAAAAAACUUAUAAGGUUGUGGGUAGCAGAGGGGUUCAUCGAGAGAAGGGGUGAAAGCACAAUGGAGGAAGUGGCAGAAGGUUAUCUAAAGGAGUUGGUUCACAGAAAUAUGCUACAACUUGUUCAAAAGAACUCAUUUGGUAGGAUGAAAUCAUUCCGGAUCCAUGAUAUCAUGCACGAGUUGGCAGUAGAUUUAUGUCAGAAAGAGUGCUUUGGUGGUGUAUACGAGGGGGAUAAGCAUACAGAAUAUAUUGAGGAGAAGGAUGGACGUCGACUGGUAAUACACAAACUGAAGAAGGGAAUAUACCAAUCACCCUCAAACUUACACCGCCUUCGUUCUCUCAUUGCAUUGGACAUUGGUACUCCAUCAUCCAGUCUACUGCCUCUAAUAGUGGGGAUGUCAAGAUAUAUGUCGGUACUGGAGCUAAGUGGCCUACCCAUUGAGAAUGUUCCAGAUGCUAUUGAAGAUCUUUUCAAUCUCCGCCAUUUAGGUCUGCGUGGUUCAAAGGUGAAGGUCCUCCCUAAGUCUGUUGAGAAACUUACAAAUUUAUUGACACUGGACCUUUUUGGAUCUGAUAGACAAGAGCUUCCUAGAGGGAUUGUCAAACUGAAGAAUCUUAGACAUUUGCUUGCUGAGAGAGUGUAUGAUGCAACUUGGGCAGAAUUUAGGUCUGCUAGUGGUGUACGUAUCCCCAGAAAUCUUGGGAACCUGACAAAUCUACAGACAUUGAAUGCGUUAGAUGCACAGGAUGAGUCUCUAGGUUGUUUGGGGGAGCUUAGGCAACUAAGAAGCUUCAGGAUAUGGAAUGUGAAGGGAAUCUACUGUGGACGCCUGUGUGAAUCCCUUGUUCAGAUGCAAUUUUUGUCUGUGCUAAGUGUGAAUGCAAGUGAUAAGAAUGAGGUUCUCCAGUUGAAUGCUCUCCCACCAAAUCUGAAGAAGCUACGUCUGACUGGAAGAUUAGCGGAAGGGACAUUGUGCGAGUCUCUCUUCCAAGCUGUGGGUCAGAACUUGUAUUCGUUGCAUCUAUAUUGGUCCGAGUUGAAAGAAAACCCCCUGCCAUCACUUUCUCAGAUGUCAAAUAUGACAGACCUAGAUUUGACAAGUGCAUAUACUGGAGAGGAGCUGAUAUUUCUCAGUGGCUGGUUUCCUAAUCUGAAGACCCUCUUUCUAAGAGACCUUCCUAAUCUGAAGCUGCUAGAGUUUAAAAAAGAUGCCAUGGCGAGCCUGGAAAGAUUGAUACUGAUCAACCUAAAUAGCAUGACGGAGGUCCCACCUGGCAUUGAGUUCCUUGGGCACCUUAAAAAGCUAAGCUUUGCCGGAAUCACCCCCGACUUCCUGAUGUUGCUGCGCCAAUGUUCUAGAAUUGGCAGGGUGCGAUGGCAGCAUUCUCUACGCCAUUGA